rnacentral:rRNA from 1 species
GAUGAACGCUGGCGGCGUGCCUAAUACAUGCAAGUCGAGCGAAUAGACGAGGAGCUUGCUCCUCUGACGUUAGCGGCGGACGGGUGAGUAACACGUGGAUAACCUACCUAUAAGACUGGGAUAACUUCGGGAAACCGGAGCUAAUACCGGAUAAUAUAUUGAACCGUAUGGUUCAAUUGAGAACGACGGGUCUGCUGUCGCUUAUCGAUGGACCCGCGCCGCAUUAGCUAGUUGGUCAGGUAACGGCUUACCAAGGCAACGAUGCGUAGCCGACCUGAGAGGGUGAUCGGCCACACCGGAACUGAAACACGGUCCAGACUCCUACGGGAGGCAGCGGUAGGGAAAGGUCCGCAAUGGGCGAAAGCCUGACGGAGCAACGCCACGUGAGUGAUGAAAGUCUUCGGAUCGUAGUACUCUGCUAUUAGGGAAGAACAAAUGUGUAAGUAACUAUGCGCUUCUUGACGGUACUUAAUGAGAAAGCCACGGCUAACUACGUG